GAUGAACGCUGGCGGCGUGCCUAAUACAUGCAAGUCGAGCGAACGGACGAGAAGCUUGCUUCUCUGAUGUUAGCGGCGGACGGGUGAGUAACACGUGGAUAACCUACCUAUAAGACUGGGAUAACUUCGGGAAACCGGAGCUAAUACCGGAUAAUAUUUUGAACCGCAUGGUUCAAAAGUGAAAGACGGUCUUGCUGUCACUUAUAGAUGGAUCCGCGCUGCAUUAGCUAGUUGGUAAGGUAACGGCUUACCAAGGCAACGAUGCAUAGCCGACCUGAGAGGGUACUCGGCCACACUGGAACUGAGACACGGUCCAGACGCCUAAGGGAGGCAGCAGUAGGGCAUCUUCCGCAAUGGGCGAAAGCCUGACGGAGCAACGCCGCGUGAGUGAUGAAGGUCUUCGGAUCGUAAAACUCUGUUAUUAGGGAAGAACAUAUGUGUAAGUAACUGUGCACAUCUUGACGGUACCUAAUCAGAAAGCCACGGCUAACUACGUG
rnacentral:rRNA from 1 species